UUUCUGGACUUCUUCUACUACUACUAAAUCUAGUAUUCUAAGUGUACUUUACUGCCGUUGAGUGGUUCGCUGACACCGUGGUUUUAGGUACCGAUACACCGGUGAGUAAGAUCGUUCUAUCCUGGGAGGAUAUAUUCCAUUAACCUCAGGUACUUGAGGGGAAUAAUUUCCUUAAGGGGACACUGUGCAUUCAGUGGGUUCGAUUUUCUU
rnacentral:lncRNA from 1 species